GAUGAAGAACGUAGCGAAAUGCGAUACUUGGUGUGAAUUGCAGAAUCCCGUGAACCAUCGAGUCUUUGAACGCAAGUUGCGCCCGAAGCCAUUAGGCCGAGGGGACGCCUGCCUGGGCGUCACACGUCGUUGCCCCCCCAUCUACUCCUUCGGGAUUGCGGGGGGCGGAUGAUGGCCUCCCGUGCGCCUCGUCGCGCGGUUGGCAUAAAUGCCAAGUCCUCGGCGACGCACGCCACGACAAUCGGUGGUUGCGAAACCUCGGUUGCCCGUCGUGUGCGGUCGUCGCGCAUCGAGGGCUCGAAAAAAUUGCCGGGCUCCGGCUCGGCUUUCAACGCGACCCCAGGUCAGGCGGGGUUACCCGCUGAAUUUAAGCAUAUCAAUAAGCGGAGGA
rnacentral:misc_RNA from 1 species